rnacentral:rRNA from 1 species
UACGGAGGGUGCAAACGUUGCUCGGAAUCAUUGGGCGUAAAGCGCACGUAGGCGGUCUGUCGCGUCGGCUGUGAAAACCCGGAGCUCAACUCCGGGCCUGCAGUCGAUACGGGCAGACUGGAGUUCGGCAGGGGAGACUGGAAUUCCUGGUGUAGCGGUGAAAUGCGCAGAUAUCAGGAGGAACACCGGUGGCGAAGGCGGGUCUCUGGGCCGAUACUGACGCUGAGGAGCGAAAGCGUGGGGAGCGAACAGG